AUUCCACUCUCUGCAACUGAUUCCACGUGGCGAGCCAUGGUGACGGCCACGACUAGCCACGACUCCAUCCCAUUACUCUUCAUGAUAAAUUCCUCCUGAUCCCGUGCGGCCCACUACUAGGCGGUUACAAAUGUCGCUAUCAAUCCGUUGCUCUCUCUGCCUAUAAAAAAGGGAUUCCAGAUACGUUAUUCUCUAAGUUCUAAUCUCUAUCCCAAAAUUCUGCUAAAAUUUUCGUUCGAGCACUCCAUUC
rnacentral:lncRNA from 1 species